CUUUAUUCUAUUAUAUAACUGAAACCUUCUUUUCUCAAUAAGUGUAAAUUGAUGACAGUGGCAGGAGAAAGAAUUAAAGGUGACCACUUCUUAUACUAAAACAGAGACGAUCAGCUUUGAAUUUAGUCUUUUCCCACUUUUAACAACAGUAAUUAUCGUGCUAGGGAUUUUAGAAAUAUAAGAAUGAAGGAGACAGACACUGACCUCGAAGAAUAUUCAUUGUAAUAAAAGAAGUGAGACCCAGACAUUAAAUGAAAUAGAAGUGAUAAAUAUCAUACAAAGGAGUAGUGGUACAAUUGGCAGCUCAGAGGAAGCUGGAUUACCUCCAACUGGGAAGGCCCCAUGGAGGGAACAGCAUGUGUGGUGGGCCCCGAUUUUGAACAAUGAAGAUGGACCUGUGUUUUCGGAAGAAGGAAUAGGUUUGGUCAAUUUGUGGAAAGGCUUUGUCACGGCCUGGGCGCCCCUGGAAACGGAUGUUGAGAUGGAGACCUGUGUGUUUUAUUUUACAUUUAUUGGAGUAUGCCUAGAGGGGCAACAUUUCUAAGGGAGAAGGAAGUGAGACAAGCAGAAUUGGGUAGAAGGAGUGGUUGAACUGUGAUGCAGCUGCAACAGAGGCCAAGCCAAUGCCAUGAGGAACUCUGAAGCUGAGAUGGCCCUUUAGAGACAUCCUGGGUGGAGGCAGAGGGGUGGGCUGGGCCUCUAUAUCUCGCAGUGAGUCAUCGAGUGUGAGUUGCCCCAGAGGCAGCUCCCUUCAGCCUAGGCAGUUCCUGGGGCAGGUCCCAGCUGUGAGCCAUCAGCAGGCAAGCAGCUGGGCAGCUGGAAUAACUAUAAGGGGGACCUGGGCGGCACACUGUAGCGUGCUCUACAGUUUUGGAUGUUGACGUAGGGAGAUGGGACCUUGUGUUAGUUUUCUAGGGCAGCUAUGACAAAGAACCACAGACUGGGUAGCUUAACAGAAAUUUAUUUUCGGACAGUCCUGGAGGCUUGAAAUUCAAGAUCAAGGUGUCAAUGAGGUUGUUUCAAGCCCAUCUCCUUCGCUUAAAGAUGGCUGCCUUCUCCCAGUGUCUUCACGUAGUCUUCCAUCUGUGUGUGUCUGUGUCCUAAUCUCCUCUUCUUACAAGGGCACCAGUUAUACUGCAUAAGGGCCCACCCUCAUGACCUCAGUUAACCUCAAUUACCUAUUUAAACACCCUAUCUUUAAAAGAGUCAGAUUCUGAGGUACUGGGGGUUAGGACUUUAACAUAUGAAUUUUGAGUGGACACAAUUUAGCCCAUAGAAGACUUCAUUUGUUUGGAGAAAGAAGAAUAUUAGAGGUUUUCUCAGGGUGAAUACUUACUAAAGGAUGUGCUUCAGAAAUCUGUGAGUAAUGAGAACACGGAUGGGAAGGAGAGAAAAAAGAUGGAGGCUAGUUGGGAAGCCACUACUUCAAUUCUGAAAUAAAUAAUAAAACCUGAACUAAAAUAGUGACAGCAGUGAUGGAAAACAGAGAAAAGAUGCAAAGGAUUUCUCAGAGUAAGCCUUGUUGGGACUCUCUAGUGGGUUGGAUGUGGGGAGCAAGGAAAAGGCAGAGGUUGAAGAUUGGCAGCUUGGAUAAGCACCUUCAACAGAACAGGGCACAUGAGAGUAGGAAACAUUUGCAUGCAAGCAAAAGAAAAAAAAAAGUGAUUAUUUGCAACACAUUAGGAUUGAGAUACCAACAAGAUCUCCAGGUUGAAAUGUCUAAUGCAGAUUGGAAAUAACGGGUGAGAAGGUUGGAGAGAUACAGUAUUAGACAUGUGGUUCUGGGAGUCACUUGUGGGUUAGCACAAUCUUUAGUUUGCAUGAGAUUCCCCACGGAGCCUGUCAAGAGCAACAAGAGGGUGAAUGACUGGUCAGGAGGUGAUGUCAACAUCAAGACAAACAAGGAAUGGUAAACAAAAGAGGAAAUAAAAGAAGGGACAGAGAGGGGCAAGGGAAGCAGAACAAGAGAACGUGCGUUAAGCCAAUGGAGAGGGUUUCCAGAGGCACACGUGGUUGCUCCUCAGUUAUUUGUUAGAUAAAUGGACCAGUGGAUAAAUGGCUAAAUAAGCAAAUACAAAUAUUUUCAGUCAUGAGCCUUGUGUUUCCCGCAGGCUAACAGACCUGUUUGUUUACCUUGUAAGUUAGCUUUCUGAGAACAAAGCAGUGGAAUUUUCCGAGGUGUCAAAUUCUAAAGAAUAGAAUUUUGUCAUCCAUUCUCCUCCUCAGAUAAAUGUUAAAAUGGAAACUCUACCUAGCACUCUGCUGGAAUUCACAACAUAGUAGCUGGAAACUUGUUGCCCAAGCUGCCAUCUUCAUCUGGCCAUGUAGGAGUCAUAUGAGAAUAAGACCUCACACAGAGGGCAGCAGGGAUGAAAAAGAGAAGAAACCAGGCCCUAGCAAUUUUAUUUACAUCCUGAUCAAACCUUUCCUGAUUUCAAUCCUAACUCUGGACUUUUCAGAAAAACGAAGAGUCAAAAAGGACAAGCUCUGAUCCAAAGCCACAUUGCCGGUAAAGCGUUCUGACCCCAGCCUCCCCGACUUCAACACGCAGCCUCUUAAUCCUCCUAUCCCCCAGAGUUGGCUCACAGUGGAACGAGCCUGAGGAUCAGAGGAAAGGAUCUAACCAAAUCCCCACGAUGAGAAGCAGUCCCUGGUAAGCAGCAACUUGUGACGUCUCGGCCACUGAGGUCCUGAGAGCGUUGUCAGUUGGAGGCAGCCUGCGCGUCCCAGGCCCUGUGCUCCCUGCUCCCCGCGACCCCGCCUCCUGCAGGGCAACGAGAGGCAGCCCACAGGGAGGGGAGCAGGGAGGCCAGCGAUUUUGCUUAAAGAGAGCACAGAGAGACUGCCAUCAGCACGUAGAUUUCGGUGUGUUUAGCAGCUUCUGGUCUCACUUGUUUUAAACUGACAGCCAACAAAAACAGGGCUGAUAAGAGCAAUCCCUCAAAAUGACCCCGGCUGGCAAGUGAAGAGAAGCAGUGUUUGUUUGUGUACAAAGUGCCUCUGCAGGAAGACAAAUGUUCCCCUUCUGCCUGGUAGUGGGGGACAAUUCUGAGAGACAAGUUGACUUUGGAAAACAAAAAUUAAAAAUGCUUUAGGGUUAUUAUCAAGAAUUUCCUUUAGCCGUGAACACAGAAUAUGAUGUAAAGACUGUCCACUGUAUUCUAGAUUUGCAUUUUAAAGAUGCCAGAUGGAAAAGCCUAUUUCAUUCUCUUUGAGGUUUUCCUAUCGUGUGGUCAUUUAUAAACAUGUAAUGAGGACCUCCUCUGUGCCAUGUGCUAAGGAGGUAAGAACGGAAUGGUUUUUUCCACCUUAAUCAGACAUGUAAAUUAAUUCAAUUUAUCAGAAAUUUGCUAAAAUGGGCUGUGUUCGUUGGGACAGGCUAGCUGAUGUUAACAAGCUGCCUCGGGAUUCCAGUGUCUUAUGUCACUGCCCCAUCAGUCUGGAGGGCCUGCCCUGUGGUCAUUGAGGGACCCAGCUCUUUCCAGCUCACGCUUCGCCUUCCUCUGUGUUCGCCGAGUCCUCUCCCUUCUGUUAGCGGAUGGGGAGAGAGACGGAGAACUGUUCUUAGGAGGUUUCUGUGGGGCUUUCCUGGAAGUGGCACAGAUUACAUCUGCUCUCUAUCCCUUAGCCAGAAUUCAGUCAGACGGCCUCAUCUGAAUGCAAGGGAGGGUAGAAAACAUAAACUAGAAAGAAAAGGAGAGCCUGAAUAUUGGCAUACACUAGAAACUCUGACAUGGAAUUAUGUUCAAAGACCAAUGUCUGAACGAUCUCAUUUUAGAAGGGUGAAAGUUGAUGUUGACUGAGGCCUUCACAGUUGGAGACCAAAUAAGGCUCCUUAUUCUUUGCUAACAGAUUCCUGAUUUUGUUUGGUGGGCCCUGCUCCAGGUGAUAAACUGUUAGUCUGCCAGGCUUAUUGCGACAAUUCUGGUUCUACUUGGCUGACACACAUUUUCAGCUUUUUUUGCAGCUAACGGUGGCAAUAAGGUGUAAGUAGAUAUCUAAUGAGCUUCUAAGAAAGCCGUUUCUUUCUUUCUUUUUUUUUUUUUUGAGGAAGAUUAGCCCUGAACUAACAUCUGCUGCUAAUCCUCCUCUUUUUGCUGAGGAAAACUGGCCCUGAGCUAACAUCCAUGCCCAUCCUCCUCUACUUUAUAUGUGGGACGCCUACCACAGCGUGGCUUUGCCAAGUGGUGCCAUGUCCACACCCGGGAUCUGAACCGGCGAACCCCGGGCUGCCAAGAAGCGGAACGUGCAAACUUAACCACUGCGCCACCAGGCAGGCCCCAGCAGUUUCUUUCUAAUAAAAGGAGCAGGCCCAGGAAACAAGCUUGGUCUUAUAUCCUCUUCUCCUUGCUUCUUGCAUUUGACUAUGAUGAGAGAACCAGUGUUUGGAACUGUGGCAGCCAUUUUGAGAAUGAGAUGAAUCCUGCUGUCCCAGUGUGAUUAUUGAUAACGCACCCUUUCAUACUCAAAAGUGUCCUGAAUUAGACAACAAAUUGGGCAGUCCCAGAAAGAGCUUCAGAUGCUGAAGGUGAUAAAGAGGAAAGGGCGAUAGCAUCAACCGUGUGAAGUGGCUGGCCCAGCUCUAGGUGAUUUGUCUCCUGAGUUCAAUUUGAAGUAGACAGCAAGUGUUUCAUAUUUAAGCCUAUUUAGUCCAGGCUUCUGUUACUUUGAGCUAAAAGUUUUAUUUUCUGACGUAUUUAUCUUUGACUCAGGGAUUUUGGAGAACAGUUAGAGCUUGACCAUUAAUUUCAAACUAAAGCCUUUUAAAGUUCUGAAAUUUUGGGUUAAGUUUUUCUUCUCUGUAAUUUCCUGAAUUGGCAUGAUAAUUACGAAACUUUGCACAGAAGGCUUAUUUUGUGAUAUUUCCAAUAGGAACCAGAAGUGGAAGUGUCAAAACUCUCACCAGAAAGCUAGCUAUGAGAGGUUCUAUCCAAGCUGGCAAGCCCAGGUGGUUUGGAAAGUACAAAUAAGAGACCAAAUUGUCGGGGAAAUGAGGACUAGAAUCCUGGAGGGCAGUGUGACACUUUGCUGUCUUUAAAUUUGAAAAGAUUUAUUGGUCAGAUCUGUGUAUGAUGAAAAAGAAGUGCCAAACAUCCAGGAGAAAUUAAAUUUCACGAGAGGUAAAAAUAAGUCAAUAAGAGCAUUUAAAAGUUAAAUGACAAAUUUGUAGAAUUAAUUGCACUAUGAAUUUUAGAUAUGCGAUCUGGUAGGGUGCCAUAUUACAGAGGGGUCUUACUGCAUUGGAUUACUUAGAUCCCAGCACGUCUUAAAAACAUUCAGGUCCUUUCCCCAACAUUACUUCUUUUUGGAGUUAACUUGACAGGAGAUUACUAGUCUGUUAUGCUAAUUAUUUGAUGAUCUUUUACUUUCACCCAUUUAGGUCACUAAUAAGAUGCUCCACUUGACCUUCCUGUAAUUGAUUCUCCAGAAUGAUUAUUUUCAAUGCCAACCCAAUCCCAGCCUGCCCCUGGUUGAAACCCUCCAGUAGCUCCUCAUUCCUAACAGGACAGGACCUGACCCCACCUCCCACUUAGCAACAUGGGAAGAGACACACCUCUUCUCGAUCUGGCCCUCAUUUGCUUUUCUGGACUCACAUGUCCCCAUCUGAUACCUAGUCCUUGCCCCAGCCGUAAGGAACUUCUUUUAGUUCCUGACCUGGAGGCUGGGUCCCUCUUCCCUCUCUGCCUUCUGGGAUUCCAUACUUGGUAUUCCUUCUACGUGGAAUAUUAUUCCCACCCUCUCACCCCUACAACCACAGCUUCCAUUGACCAUGCCUACUCAUCCUCCAGAUCUCAGCUUUAGUGUCACUUUCUCUGGAAAGCCUUCUGUAAGCUGGAAGUCCCUGCUGUGUGACCCUUCUAGGCACUCCCAGACUUGACCCCAUCAGCACUUAGCCCACUGUAUGGUGAUUGCUCGCUCACUUGUGUAGAUCCGCUGUUAAACUGUAAGGUCUAUGAGGAUGUGUAGUGGGCAGAGUAAUACCCCCCAAGAAUGUCCACAUCGUAACCCUGGAAACCGUGAGUAUGUGAUGGUACACAGCAAAGGGAAAUUAAGGUUGCAGGUGGAAUUAAGGCUGAUAGUUAACUUUAAGGUAGGGAGAUUAUUCUGGAUUAUCUAGGUGGGCCCGAUGUAAUCACAAGGGUCCUUAAAAGUACAAAAGGGAGGCAGAAGAGGAAAGUCAGAGAGAGGUAUGAGUAUGGGAGAAUGAGCGGAGAGAUGCAAUGUUGCUGGCUUUGAAGAUGGAAGCAGGGAGCCCUGGGCCAAGGAAUGUGGGCAGUCUCUAGAAGCUGGAAAAGGCAAGGAAAUGGAUUCAUUCCUAGAGCUGCCAGAAGGGAAUGUAGCCCUGCAGAUGCCUUGAUUUUGGCCCAGUGAGGCCCAUUUUGUACUUCUAACCCACAGAACUGGAAGAUAAUCAAGUUGUGUUAUUUUAAGCCACGAGGUAUAUGGUAAUUUGUUAGAGCAGCAAGAGAAAAAAUAACACAGGAAAGAAAUGCUGUCUCUCUUGCUCACAGUUGUAGCCCAAGGUCCAUAAUAGUCCGUGGAAUGUGGUAAAUGGCUUGAUAGCCAUUCAUUGAAUGGGAAACUAGAAUGUCAGGCCAAGGAAUGGCUCUGGAGGAAUGCUCUGUAAGUAUCCAUGUUGCUAAUUGUGAUGCUCAUCGCCUUCUUCCAAUCAUCCUGCCUGUGAAAGGUGAUCCUCCAUUGUGUACUUAUUUCCCUUUUCUCUUUCUUGCUAAAGAUGAAGAAUAUUUUUCUAUUUGGAAGAAGGUAAGACGAUCCAUAUACUAAAAGACAUGAGAGAGAAGAAAGGUGAGAAACUGGGCCAGGAGAGAAAGUUGUAGCACUCUAAGGAGGACAGAGUAAACGAAAGGCUAGGAGCACUGAAGCAUGCUGUAAGGACUUAUGAUGGAUGUCAUUGAGGGUUAUGAACUAGAUCUGCAUUAAUGCUCUCUGUAAGACAAAAGUCUAAGAUGGGAUUAUUUUAAAGUCACUUAUGACUAUUAAAUUGUAUGUCUGUAGAAAAACUUUCUGCAAAGGCUGAGUUUGGCCAUUCUACAUUUAUUAGGGUUCCACUUCUUUUGACACAAUAGCACAAUGAUAGGGACACACUGUUAAGUCCAUUUUGGGUGUGUGAAGUUGAAGCAAACUAGGUAUAUAUCUCUGUCAACUGAACAGUAUUUUUUUUCCAGCUAAUUGAGCUCCUGGGAAACAAGGACAUGAGCUCUUGGUUCAUUACGUUCAAGAUAAGUCCAGCAACAUGUUGAUUUAUCUGGGCACCUUUGGAAUCCUUCAUAAGCAGCUGGGUUCACACAGGAGCCACAGAGGCAUCAAAAAGCCCCUGGAAGAAUUUAGUUAAUUGCCAUUACACUCACAGUUAUGUUACACUUUUGUUAGUUGCUUUUCUCCUUUUGUAAAGCUUAAGUGAGAAGAAGCUUUGCUUUUAAUAACUUAACUUUUAGUAAGAAGAUAUUUUGUACAUUAAAUCUGUAAGCAAUUUUCUUCAAAAUCCAGCUACAAAGAAGCUAAAAUGAAAGGAAACUGUUCUGAAAAAAAUUUCCCAAUAUUUUGGAACUUAAGAAGAGUGAGGAAAAUAAAGUUGCCAUGGAUACUAAAAAGAAAACAGUAGAACUUUUUCCAAAAUUCCUAGGUUAUAGGAAAAAAAUAUCUUUGAAUUGCAAGCUUGGAGAAAAUUUGUGACGUCCAUUUUCUGUACAUUUGCUAAAUAGGACAAGAGCACUGAAAUAAUACAGAUGCCAAAGGUUGAUUUUUAAAGACAAAAUUGGCUGUCAUCCUUGUAACAGCACUGACAGAGCAAUUGUGUUUCAUGUUGAAAAGCCCACAGGCACCAGGAGCAAAGCUAUAGACCUGUCUCCAGUGCUUCUCACCAGUGACACACAGCGAUAUGAAUAUUUCAAUGGCAUUUCUGAAGUUUCCCUUUCAGGAAAUGUUGGGCUGGUUUAAUCCAUUAACCCCUGAAGACACCAGAUUUAUAAUACAAACCUUAAAGUUCACGGAUUUAGCUUAGUAGCUAAAACCACUUCUUUUCUCUCUUCCUAAGAGCCUAAAUUUUCUGCUCUGAGGAGUAAGUCAGGAACAACUCAGGCUUGUGUUGCCUAACUUGCAGAUGCUUAUUUUCAAACCUCUGUUUACUUGUGAAGAUAAAGCACGCAUCUUAAAAAUAAAUUAAAACAGCAAAAGAAGGUUUACAAUGAAAAGGCAUCCUUGAAAUUAUAAUUAUGGUCUUUUGUUACGAUUUGCUAAUGGCUGACGCCUCCACUAGACUGUUCUCUCCAAGAGGGGAUUGGAUUAUUGUAUUCAGUCAGCAAUUGUGACAGCAGGUUCCUUAGUGUCCAGCGUAGAGCUUGGCAUAUCACGGCCUCUCAAUAAAUAAUUCUUGGUUGAAAACAUCAGAGGAAACAAGCUAUCUGAUAUAAGCUCAAGUCUACAAAUGAGACAUGAGGUGACGUGUCUAAGAAAAUGAAGUGGGUUGUGGCAGAAAUUUCACUAGAAUCCAGAAUGGACCCCAGGCUGCAUGACUCCCACUCAGUGUUCUUAUUACCACAGUCAGUUUAAAUGGAAAUUCUUUUCCUAAUAAUCCUCAAGGCAAGAGUCGCAUGGCAACUAGAUUAAAGAACUCUGUAGGGCUCUUGUCUUCCAUUCCAAAUUAAAUGCAUCCAAGGUACCUAUGACUUGCCCACCAGUUUCAGGUGUAGAAGGUGAAGAAUUAAGGAAAGCUCCUCCAUUAGAAGAUGAAGGAUGGGUGCUAUGUGUGGUCUUGGCAUCUCAAACAAACAAACAAACAAACAAAUGUGGAACAAUGUACGUCAAGCCAUCACCUAUCUCCUUAGUUGCUUCUCUUAUAAAGGAGUGAACGAGAAGUGGAGAGAGAAAAUGAAAUUGUUAAAUCUUAAAAUUUCACUCACCAUCCACUCCUAUCCAAGGGUAGGGAAGCUUAUUUCACUUCUUAUGAAACUGUGGAGAUUAGGGAAUAAAGAGUUUCACAAAACACUCCCCAAUUCUUGUUUUCAUGACCUGUAGCAUCUAUAGGUACCUCCUAUUAUCAAAUUUCCAGAGAGAAAUGCAAGUCCAAGAAAUGAAAUAAAUUCCCUCAAAUUAAAUGAAAAGAAACUACAGUCCAGAUUUCUGCUUUCCUUGAUCUCUCCUCCUGCUCUGUCCCAAUCGGAGGGAACUCACAAGGACACUAGGUGAGAGUUGAGUGUCCCCCUGCAGCAGCUGCAUCCCCAGCUUUCUUCCCAGGAAGUGGGGGGAGGGGAGUUUCUUCUGCACCUACAAAGUUGAAUUAGUGUUACCACGAGCCCUUCAUGGAUCUCAAUUUCCAAUGAGUCAACAAGUCAGUGGGAUAUAUAGAAUACAUUGGCUCUAGCCCUGCAUCCACAAAAUUUAGAAGCCAACAUGGCAUUCUCCAACUACCUCGAUAAGUAUAUCAAACAGAUGUAUGUUCUCAGAAGUAAAUAAAUAUUUCAGUGCCGAUCCCCACUGCUGUGGAGUGCAAUGAGCCAAGAGCCACAGCAGUGAAAUCUUAGAGAAGAGAGAAAGGAAGCAAUCUCCCUGAUUUGAGACUUAUAAGAUGCCAGCUAAUUUCUAAACCUGAACUCCAUUGCUGUAAGAAAUUUCCUUUCAUGCCCUAUCAUCCCAAAUCCCCAGGGAAACAUCCAUCUUGCAAACUGAUUCUGUUCUCAAGUAGAGAUAUUUUCAACAGUCUAUCUUCUUGCAAAAUUUAGGCAUUUGCUGUGGUGAGGUCCCAGGAGAAGUGGCCAGCACAUCAACAGUAUUGCUCUCCCGUGGCAUCCUGAUGGGGGACUAUCCAUGGGCUCCAUCUAGAGACAGCUUCUACUUCCUUUUACAGAGAUGCAAAAGAUAAAGAGAAAGGAAUGUGAGCCCACCACUACAGAAAAUCAUCAAAUCACCAAGGAAGAGAGCAAGAGAGGAAGAAGGGAAAAAAAGGAACUACAAAACUACCAGAAAACAAUUGACAAAAUGGCAAUAGUAAGUCAAUACCUAUCAGUAAUUACUUUAAAUUUAAAUGGACUAAAUUCUUUAGUCAAAAGAUAAAGAGUGGCUAAAUGGACAAAAAACAAGACCCAACUACCCACUGCCUACAAGAGUCUGACUUCACCAUUAAGGACAUACAUAGACUGAGAGUGAAGGGAUAGAAAAAGACAUUCUGUGCAAACAGAAACUAACAGAAAGCAAGAGUACCUAUACUUAUAUCAGAUAAAAUAGACUUUAAGCCAAAAACUGUAACAGAGACAAAGAAAGGCCUUAUAUAAUAAUAAAGGAGUCAAUGCAUCAAGAGAAUAUAACUAUUGUAAAUAUUUAGGCACCCAGCAUCAGAACACUAAAUAUAUAAUACAAAUAUUAACAGACCUGAUGGGAGAAAUAGACAACAAUAGAAUAAUAGCAGGGUCUUCAACACUCCACUUUCAACAAUGGAUAGAUCAUUCAGCUGAAAAUUCAAAAGGAAACAUUGAAUUUAAACUACACAUUAGACCAGAUGGACCUAAGAGACAUAUACACAACAUUUCAUGCAACAGAAGCAGAGUACACAUUCUUUUCAAGUGCACAUAAAAUAUUCUCCAGGAUAGAUCAUACGUCAGGGCACAAACAAGUCUUAACAGAUUUAAGAAGAUGAAAUCAUAUUAAGUAUCUUUUCCAAUCACAAUAGUAUCAAACUAGAAAUCAAUUGCAAGAAGAAAACUGAAAUCGAGUCACAAAUAUGUGGAGAUUAAGCAACAUGCUACUGAAUAACUAAUGGAUCCAAGAACAAAUCAAAAGGGAAACCAAAAAAUAUCAUAUGACAAAUGAAAAUGGAAACACAACAUACCAAAACUUAUGGGAUGUAGUGAAAGCAGUUCUAAGAGGGGAGUUUAUAGCAAUAAAUGUCUACAUUAAGAAAAAAGAAAGAUCUCAAAUAAAUAACCAAACUUACACCUCAGGAAUUAGAAAAAGAAGAACAAAUAAGAUCCAAAGUUAGUAGAAGAAAAGAAACAACAAAGAUAAGAGUGGAAAUAAAUGGUACAGAGAUCAAACAGACAAUAGAAAAGAUAAUAGAUAAAUGAUAAAAAGACAAUAGAAAAGAGAAACUGAGCUAGUUUUUUGAAAAUCUAAACAAAAUUGACAAACCUUUAGCUAGACUGAGAAAAAAAGAAAGGAGACUCAAAUAAAUAAAAUCAGAAGUGACAGAAGAGACAUUAAAAUUGAUGCCACAGAAAUACUAAGGAUGAUAAGAAAAUACCAUGAACAAUUAUAUACCAACCAAUUAGAUAACCUAGAAGAAAUGGAUCAAUUCCUAGAACCAUACAACCUAUUGAGACUGAAUCAUGAAGAAAUAGAAAAUCUGAACAGGUCGGUUACUAGUAAGGAGAUUCAAUCAGUAACCAAAGCCGCAACAAACAAAGCCUAGGACCAGAUGACUUCACUGCUGAAUUCUAUCAAACAUUUAAAGAAGAAUUAACACCAACCCUUUUGAACUCUUCCAAAAUAAUAGAAGAGGAGGGAUUCUUCCAAACUCAUUCUAUGAGGCCAGCAUCACCCUAUCAAAGCUAGAUGAGGACACUGUAAAAGAAAAGUGCAGACCAAUAUCCCUGAUAAAUAUAAAUGCAAAAAUCCUUAAUAAAUAUUGUUUAACC
rnacentral:lncRNA from 1 species